rnacentral:rRNA from 1 species
UACGUGGGUGGCAAGCGUUGUCCGGAUUUACUGGGCGUAAAGGGCGCGUAGGCGGUCUAUUAAGUUGGAUGUGAAAACUCUGGGCUUAACCCAGAGCCUGCAUUCAAAACUGAUAGGCUGGAGUUCUGGAGGGGAUAGCGGAAUUCCUGGUGUAGCGGUGAAAUGCGUAGAUAUCAGGAGGAACACCGGUGGCGAAGGCGGCUAUCUGGACAGAAACUGACGCUGAGGCGCGAAAGCUAGGGGAGCAAACAGG